rnacentral:tRNA from 1 species
AAACUUUUAGUUUAAUAAGUAAAAAUAUUUUAUUUACAUUAAAAAGACUAAUUAUUUUAAUUAAAGUUUA